UACGUAGGGGGCAAGCGUUGUCCGGAAUCAUUGGGCGUAAAGAGCGCGUAGGCGGCCCGAUAAGUCCGCUGUGAAAGUCAAGGGCUCAACCCUUGAAUGCCGGUGGAUACUGUCGGGCUAGAGUCCGGAAGAGGCGAGUGGAAUUCCUGGUGUAGCGGUGAAAUGCGCAGAUAUCAGGAGGAACACCGGUGGCGAAGGCGGGUCUCUGGGCCGAUACUGACGCUGAGGAGCGAAAGCGUGGGGAGCGAACAGG
rnacentral:rRNA from 1 species